rnacentral:lncRNA from 1 species
CUGCUACUGGAUUUAUUGCUGUUGGAAGCUUUUGACUGCCUCCGUCAAAAUGUUCAUCUGCUGCAUGAGUGCAGCGAUCUGAGCGUCUGUGGUGACCACAAGAUGCGAGAAAUUGGGCUCUACUACCGAAGGUGGGGGAGGAGCAUCUUUCUGAUGGGAAGAGUGUCUUGCCGAUCUGAUUGAAUGUUGGGCUCUGAUUUUCAACAUGGUUGAUUGUAGUUGCCCCCUACCUAGUGCGCUAAUCUGUUAUGUUCAACUUUCUAUCGCCUAUCACCGGUGAUGAGUACCUGCAAAAUAAUAUCCUCAC